rnacentral:rRNA from 1 species
AGCGAACGCUGGCGGCGUGCCUAACACAUGCAAGUCGAACGUGAAAAGGGAAACCUGAGUAAAGUGGCGUACGGGUGAGUCACGCGUAGGUAAUCUACCCCAGAAUCUGGAAUAACCUGCCGAAAGGCGGGCUAAUACUGGAUAGAGCGAGGGAACUCGUAAGAGAGUUUUUCGGGAAAGGGAGCCCGCAAGGGCCUUCGUUCUGGGAUGAGCCUGCGUCUCAUUAGCUAGUUGGUAAGGUAACGGCUUACCAAGGCGAUGAUGAGUAGCUGGUCUGAGAGGAUGAUCAGCCACACUGGAACUGAAACACGGUCCAGACUCCUACGGGAGGCAGCAGUGGGGAAUCUUGCGCAAUAGACGAAAGUCUGACGCAGCCACGCCGCGUGAGUGAAGAAGGCCUUCGGGUUGUAAAGCUCUGUCGGAUGGGACGAACAUCUUCAUAGUGAAUAGCUAUGAGGACUGACGGUACCAUCAAAGGAAGCACCGGCUAACUCCGUG